CCUACGGGAGGCAGCAGUGAGGAAUAUUGGUCAAUGGACGGAAGUCUGAACCAGCCAUGCCGCGUGCAGGAAGACGGCUCUAUGAGUUGUAAACUUCUUUUAUAAAGGAAUAAAGUGAGGCACGUGUGCCUUUUUGUAUGUACUUUAUGAAUAAGGAUCGGCUAACUCCGUGCCAGCAGCCGCGGUAAUACGGAGGAUCCGAGCGUUAUCCGGAUUUAUUGGGUUUAAAGGGAGCGUAGAUGGGUUGUUAAGUCAGUUGUGAAAGUUUGCGGCUCAACCGUAAAAUUGCAAUUGAGACUGGCAGUCUUGAGUACAGUUGAGGUAGGCGGAAUUCGUGGUGUAGCGGUGAAAGGCUUAGAUAUCACGAAGAACUCCGAUUGCGAAGGCAGCUUACUAAACUGCCACUGACAUUGAUGCUCGAAAGUGUGGGUAUCAAACAGGAUUAGAUACCCUGGUAGUC
rnacentral:rRNA from 1 species